UACGUAGGGUGCAAGCGUUAAUCGGAAUUACUGGGCGUAAAGCGUGCGCAGGCGGUUGUGUAAGCCAGAUGUGAAAUCCCCGGGCUUAACCUGGGAAUGGCAUUUGGGACUGCACGGCUAGAGUACGGCAGAGGAGACUAGAAUUCCUGGUGUAGCAGUGAAAUGCGUAGAUAUCAGGAGGAAUACCGAUGGCGAAGGCAGGUCUCUGGGUCGAUACUGACGCUCAUGCACGAAGCGUG
rnacentral:rRNA from 1 species